AUUGAACGCUGGCUGCAGGCCUUACACAUGCAAGUCGAGCGGAGCGGCGAACGGGUGAGUAAUGCCUAGGAAUCUGCCUGGUAGUGGGGGAUAACGUCCGGAUACGGGCGCUAAUACCGCAUACCAUCCGAUGCGCCUAGGUCGGAUGAGCUAGUUGGUGGGGUAAAGGCCUACCAAGGCGACGACCCGUAACUGGUCUGAGAGGAUGAUCAGUCACACUGGAACUGAGACACGGUCCAGACUCCUACGGGAGGCAGCAGUGGGGAAUAUUGGACAAUGGGCGAAAGCCUGAUCCAGCCAUGCCGCGUGUGUGAAGAAGGUCUUCGGAUUGUAAAGCACUUUAAGUUGGGAGGCGUUACCAACAGAAUAAGCACCGGCUAACUUCGUGCCAGCAGCCGCGGUAAUUC
rnacentral:rRNA from 1 species